ACAGUAGGCCGGUUUGCCGCUGGCUGCCUUCGGGCAGGAAGAGGAAAGUCCGGGCAACACAGAGCAUCGCAUUUCCUAACGGGAAGCUGUCCGUGAGGGCAAAGUAAGGCAGAAGAAAAUAACCGCCCGAAAGGGUAAGGGUGAGAAGGUGAGGUAAGAGCUCACCGGUCUGUAUAGCAAUAUGCGGAGCCGUGCCUCUUGCGAGUUGAAAGACCAUGUAUACCGGCGCACGUAGGACUGCUCGUCCGAUGCCGGGGGGUAGGUCGAUAGAGCCGGUUGGCGACAAUCGGCGUAGAUAAAUGGCAAACACCCUGCACAUCAGGGUACAGAACCCGGCUUACAGGCUUACUGUUUUU
rnacentral:RNase_P_RNA from 1 species